rnacentral:rRNA from 1 species
GGCUCAGAACGAACGCUGGCGGCGUGCUUAACACAUGCAAGUCGAACGAACCUUCGGGUUAGUGGCGGACGGGUGAGUAACGCGUGAGAAUCUGCCCUCAGGAGGGGGAUAACGGUUGGAAACGACCGCUAAUACCCCAUAUGCCGAGAGGUGAAAAGAAAUUCGCCUGAGGAUGAGCUCGCGUCUGAUUAGCUAGUUGGUGUGGUAAUGGCGCACCAAGGCUUCGAUCAGUAGCUGGUCUGAGAGGAUGAUCAGCCACACUGGGACUGAGACACGGCCCAGACUCCUACGGGAGGCAGCA